rnacentral:rRNA from 1 species
CGAAAGUUACGCUAAUACCGCAUACGAUCUACGGAUGAAAGACGGGGAGUCGCAAGACCUCGCGCGAAUGGAGCGGCCGAUGUCAGAUUAGGUAGUUUGGUGGGGUAAAGGCUCACCAAGCCGACGAUCUGUAGCUGGUCUGAGAGGACGACCAGCCACACUGGGACUGAGACACGGCCCAGACUCCUACGGGAGGCAGCAGUGGGGAAUUUUGGACAAUGGGCGCAAGCCUGAUCCAGCCAUUCCGCGUGCAGGAUGAAGGCCUUCGGGUUGUAAACUGCUUUUGUACGGAACGAAACGGUUCUCUCUAAUACAGGGGGCUAAUGACGGUACCGUAAGAAUAAGCACCGGCUAACUACGUG